GGCAGAGGGUGCAACCGUUGUUCGGAUUUACUGGGCGUAAAGCGUGUGUAGGCGGCUUCGCAAGUUGGAUGUGAAAUCCCACGGCUCAACCGUGGACGUGCAUCCAAAACUGCGUCGCUAGAGUCUCGGAGAGGAAGGUGGAAUGCUUGGUGUAGAGGUGAAAUUCGUAGAUAUCAAGCAGAACACCUGCGGCGAAGGCGGCCUUCUGGACGAUGACUGACGCUGAGACACGAAAGCGUGGGGAGCAAACAGG
rnacentral:rRNA from 1 species